rnacentral:lncRNA from 1 species
UUUUUUUUUUUUUUUUUGCCACACCCAGGCAUGUGGAAGUUCCUGGGCCAGGGAUGGAACCCAUGCCACAGUGAUGACCCAAGCUACUGCAGUGACAAUGCCAGAUCCUUAACCUGCUGUGCCACAAGAGAACUCUGCUAGUCUCUAUCUUUAAGGCGCCUCUCUUGUGGCCCCUUGCCUUUGAGAAAUGCUUCAUCAGGAAUGUUAGGAAAACAGGAACACACAUUAUCACAUUGUGUUGGAGCAAGACCUCCCCCCACCACUGCAGCCUGCACACCAGUGCAGCUGCUUGGCCUCCCCUUCUGUUUUCCCCUACCGCCAACUACCAGCCUCCUUCCAAGUCAGCCUGGAGCUGUCAAUGCAGAAGGCAAACCACAGGAACAUCUCCCUGUCCCCAGAGCCAGGGACCUCUUAGGACUCUAUGAUCAAGAGGCCUGGCAGAAGAAGAAAGGCAGUGAAAUCCUCGCUCUAAACUGAAUGCCUGUUCAGAAAUGGUGGCUCCGGAGUUCCCAUUGUGGUGCAGCAGAAACGAAUCCAACUAGGAACCAUGAGGUUUCAGGUUCGAUCCCUGGCCUCACUCAAUGGGUUAAGGAUCUGGCGUUGCCAACCUGGCAUUGCUGUGGGUGUGGUGUAGGCCAGCAGCUGCAGCUCUGAUUGGACCCCUAGGCUGGGAACCUCCAUAUGCCUCAUGGGUGCAGCCUUAAAAAGCACACACACACACACACACACACACACACACACACACACACACACACACACACAAAAGAAAAGAAAGAAAGAAAGAAAAAAGAAAUGGUGGCUCCAGACUAACUCUCACAGAGGCCCAGGGUAGGUUAAGAUGUUGCUGAGGAAGAGGUGGCAGAGUCAGGGGUUUGGUCUGACCCUCUCAGCUCCACUGCUAUUGCCAAAGUCUCCAGAUGGCUCUUCGAGAACUCCACAAGCCCUAUGUCUACAAGUGAAAUUACCUCCUUCUCCAAAGACACCUCUCUGGUUCCCAUCCCUACAACAGCAUCUGCUGCCUCUGUCCUCCCCUUGGGCGCUAACCUACAUCUACUGGGCCACCAAAUGCCAUUCAGCCAGCCUUUCCAUCUUCCCACCUGUCAAAUCCGUCAACUUCUGUCAACGCCACAUCCAUCAUCAUCCUCGGGUUUAGGUUCCUGCUUGGCCCUGCUGUCCUCUAUACCACAUCCUGGAGGCCUUUUCCCAGGGCUAAGCUUCUCCCUUGCCCAAUAUCCUUGCCCUUGAGGUAGAAUUCAGACUCCUUUUCAGUCUUCAAAGCCCUCCCGUCUUUGCCCCUCAUCUCCCACCCUACCACUUGCUCACUUUUAUUCCUCCGUAUCUCUGACUAGGAUGCUCUUUUGUACCACUGGGACCUAUACGGAGAGGUGAGAGGCAAACUGGACUCUUGAGGGGUCCAAGGAUGGGAAUGAGCCCCACGUCACAGGAGGUGUGCACAGUGGCUGGAGAAGCCACUCUUAGGGAGGAGUUCCAGCAAAGGACAGGGGUCUUGGCUCAGGGGACUUAUAGGACCUUCUGACUCUGUGACUGUGAAUUGGCUUCUUAGGAAUCACGGCUGGCAACUGCCCUCUUUGUAGGUCCCUGUCAGUGGAGCCAGGGCCCGGAGCUUCAGGAAUAUUGAAUUUGAGUUCAUUCCUGAUGCCAGCAUCAGCCAUGUGCUCCAGACACUUCGGUCCUCAGAGAGAAGGUGGGGGGACACAGCUCCCUGUGGGGUGUCCUGUGCUUGUGGGAGCAGUGGGUGGCUCUUGCAACGUGGUUUAACUAAAAGAGAGCGGAUCUUAUAGGAGGAGGCCACAGUCCACGAAGUCUGUCCUCUUAGUGUAGAGGUGGGUAAUCUGAGGUGCAGAGGGAGGAAAGGACUUGUCUAAGAUCACAGAGUGAGCUGGAGACAGGCCCAGAGCCAGAGCCCAGGUCACCUGACUUCCCUCCAAGGCUGUUCCCUCAAAAGAACAGAGCCAUGGACCCCACUGCGUUAAAACCCCUUGGAGGCGCAACUAGACCUCUUAAGAAGGCAGAACUCCACAGCUUUAAUUAAUCUUGUCAAAUGGAAAUUAUUGAUAAUGCCUGUCUUCAAAAUCUCAUUUAAAAAAUACAUAUGUAUAUAAUCAUUAUCAUAUAUGCAUAUAAAUAAUAAUAAUUAUUUUUUUGCUCCUUAAAUGACCCAGCCUCCCAAAUUGCUAGGAUGAAUACAAACUCUGCUGUGGGUCACUUGCCUUACGGAAGACAGCCUGAGAAAAGGACCAUAAUGGCUCUAGGUUAUUUUUGUCAACAUAGCUUUGUUUCCACUGGGGCUCUACUCUCCUCCACUGUGUGUGAUUUGGCCGAAGCUGCCAGGCAGUCCUCUGUACAGGCCUAACCAACCACAGUAACUCUUCCCUCUGGCAGCAGUGAUUUGUCCAAGAGAUGGGCAUGUGAUCCAGAUCUCAUCUGGACCAAUCAGAGAGUUUCCCUGGGAUUUGUAUACUGACACAGAGAAACUCCCUCUUUGUGCAACAAUGUAAGCCUAGAACUUUUAACAGUUCUUUUCUUUACCUGCAUAGAGGAAGCCCAACUGCAAAGGGAGAUAAUGAGGCCAAUAUAUAGUUGGAAGCAAAUUCAGGAGAUGGAGAAAGAGAAUCCUGAUACCUUGGUUAAGUCCUGGAUUCAGCCAUGCCUGCAGUCAGUGCCAUCCCUGGAGGUACCCAGUCCCAUAGUUCAAUUAGUUCUCUUUAGUCUUUACUUUAGAUUGAAUUGAGAUUCUUUUCUUUUCACCUUAAAGGGUCCUAAAACAAAUACAAGGUCCUUUCUUUAUCUAUCACAGCUUAUUUCAUGUAAGAGUUAGCAUGCACGCAGCCCUCUGCUCUGAGCUAUUUUGGGUACAAUGCCCACACAUACAUUUUCUUGCCACUAGAGAAGAAAGUGCUGGCUGCAGGACCCUGUGUCCCUUACUUCCUGCCUCUCCUGCAUAUGCCCUAAAGACCAUGUGGUUUCUCCCUGUGGGCAGAGGAGAGCUGACCACUGAAACCCCUCUCUGAGCUCCAGGAGGCCAGAAGCUCUGAAAUCUUUUUAGGUUACAUAUGGAGCCAUCUCCAGGGGGGAAGAAGGAGCCCCUCUCACCCAAGUUUUCUGAUCACCUCAUUCUCCUAUUCCAAAACCUUCACUGACCCUCUGCUACCAGUGGGGGAAAUCCAAACUCCUUACCCUGGCAUACAAGUUUCUUCAAUGGUCUGCCCUAGAUUCUGCAUCCUCUACUCUUUUCUACCUCUGGGUCUUUGCUUGUACUCUUCUUCCUCCCUCCUCUAGGAUAUCCACCUGCGAGAGUCCCUCCUGCCCAUUUAGGUCUAGUCCAAGCACCAUCUCUUAUAGGAAGCCUUCCUCAUUUCCCUAGUAACAGUGAAAAUUGUUCUGGGACCUCCUCUAGUAUGUUAUCUGCCUCUCAUUUGGGGCCCAUCAUAUAGUCUUUCUCUCAUUAAAUUUAUUGUUUCUUCUGCUUGACUUGUUCCCCUUCCUAUACCAUGCUCAAACCAAAUAACCCAUAAUGGCUCUUAAUUCACCCUUUAGUUCUAAACUCAGAGCUUACUUUCUCAGAGAAAACUUCCUUGGCUGUGUCCUGCUGAUAAACUCUGUUCCGCCAGGUUUCUUCUGUGGUCACAGAACACUAAGAUCUUCUUCAACUGCUUUUUGUUUUUUGCCUUUUCUAGGGCCGCUCCCUUGGCAUAUGGAGGUUCCCAGGCUAGAUAAUGCUCCUGUAAAAAGGAUCUCCAACUCUCAGUGCCUUAAAAGAACAAAAUUUUAUUUGUCUCAAGCCAUAUGUCCACUGUGGGUCAGCAGUGGAGGCUCUGUUCAUUUUAGACACUCAGAGAUAUAGGGAGAUGGAGUAGCUUUCACCUUAAGCAUCAUUGGUUAAUGCUAGAGGAAAAAGAGAGUUCUGGAGAGUCUUACAUCAAUAGUAGUUCAAUGCUCUGGUACAGAAGUGAUACAUAUCAUGUUAUCACUCACUCAUUGGCUGAAACCAUUCACAUGGACCCAUCUAACCAUAAGGUAAUUAGGAAGCACCUAAUUACCUGUACCCAGAAGGUGGGAGAACCAAAAGUACUUGGCAAAUAGCACGAAUAAAUACCACGCAAGUUAAAUUUCAUCCCAUGCCAAUAAGAAAAAAAAAUAAAGCCAAUUCUUGAGUUUCUUCUUAGUUCUGGAAUAAUACAACUUUAUGGGUUGAAGGGAUUUUUGCAACUGAUUAUUCAUGCUUUUAUGAAGGAAAAAAAUACUGAAAUCAAAACAAAAAACCUUGAGACCUGUGCAAAGACUGAUUUUUACCAAUAUCAAGAGUUUGGGAUGCACUGAAGGGAAAAUUCUAGCUAGUGCAGUAAGAUAAGAAAAAUAAAUGGCAAACAGAUUGCAAAGGAAGAAUUAAAAUUGUAUCCAUUUAUAGAUGACAUACUGACAUAGGAGAUCCUAAAGAAUCUAUAAAGAAAAAAAAAAACUCCUAGAAAUAAUAAAUAAAUUUAGGAUAUCACAAUAUACAUAAAAAUCAAUUGUACUUCUAUGCAUUAAGAGUGAACAACUAGAAAAUGAUAUCAAAAAUAAACAUAAUUU